rnacentral:tRNA from 1 species
CAGGUAUUAGUUUAUAAAAAAUUUUAGUUUUGGAGAUUAGAGAUAGGGCUUUCUUAUACCUGA